CCACCCCACCCAUCCCAACUUUCUUCCCCCGUGGGUUCCUCCCCAAUCAGCACCACAAGCCCCGGCGUGCACCUGCCCCUUCCCACCUCUCCGUCGAUCUGGCCCACUUUCCGGUUUGAAUCCGAGCCGUGGCUCGUGACGUCACGUGCGUCCUGAUCCGCGGGCCAGAAAACAUGCUUUCCGGUUAGGUCGACGGUGGCCGAGUAAAUGCGAUGGGCAAGCGGGUCUCCCUGGUUCAGUUGGUCGGCUGCGGAGGCUGAGCUCGGUGCCAUUCGAUGCGUCCGAAGGAGAGGAAAACGAUCCUUGAAUAUGGAGUUUCUCUUGCAGUUGAUUAAGAGAAGAACCAUCAUGGUUCCUGGAGGAGGUCAAUGCCAAUGAGAUUCCGAUUGAGCUUCUGCAGUAUCCAGUACUAGCACCUGCACCAGAAUUGCCUACGCAGUUGUCAAUGGAGGAGCUGCUGCCUUGGCGGCGAACAUCGGCGGGGGUCAAAUCUGUGUGGCGGUGGGGGUGGCGGACGGUGAAAUUGCACUCUAACAGACGCAAGCUUCGGAAUAGUCUGAGUAGAUCGGCCCAAAAGCGCCUAGAUGGACACAAAGGUUUGGAGUCAUCGUGUUAGUUCAGAAUUUUUUUCAGAAAGUUUUUGGUGUCGUACAAGAGUGCAAGGAUGAUGGGAUGACUGCAGUGCGUGGCAACAUGAAAAAUGUAGAUAAAACAGUGUUGGUCAGAUGGAUAUUCAAUCUCUGCACCCCUGAAAAUACAGAGAACAUAUUCAUAUUCUGGCCGUUUUGAAAUAGUUCAGAUGUGUAUGUUGUCUGUUGCAUAUAUGCAGUUCAGUAAAAAUGCUGAUUCAUUCUUGAACGGAACUAUUUAGUAGCAACCUGUCCGGACCGUGGGGAAGCUCCAGAACAAGCUGGUCGACCAACUUGAUGCAAGAACUGUGGAGUAGAGGGUCAGCGACGAAACAAAUGAAACAAAGCAGCGGAGCUAAGACUGAAAAGGGACUGAAAAAUGAUGCAUGGUUGACGUAAAACAAAAUGCAGGGGAACCAAUGGAGCUAAGGCUAGAGAGCAGCUGAAAUUUAGUUAUCCUUUACUGCAAUGUCAAUUUGAUGGCGUGUAUAAUUAGCAGGAGUGGUGCAAACAUACUGUAACAUGUGUGAGCAUCAUGCAAAUCCGUUUGCGCUGAAUAAACCUCGACUUUUAUAUAGUGUAACAUCGACCUGACUUCUGUGUGAGAUGCAUGAUGCAGUUUAGCUGCUCAUAUUUCUGAACAUGUUAUGCAUGCCCUGAACCAUAUGAAUAAAAUGCAAGGAC
rnacentral:rRNA from 1 species